rnacentral:sRNA from 1 species
AAAGCCAUUCUUGAAAUCUUUAGAUGCACGUGGAAGAAAAAAAAUACAAUCUUUCCUUUAUGAAUGUUUUUUUCUUCUUCUUGAACUCAUAGCUUCUUACCAUCAAAUCCAUCAACAAGAACAACCCCACAACCAAGGAAAUGAAAAAAUUAAAAUAGCCAUGAGUAUUCUAACAGAAAGAGAUACAAGCAGACAGACAAAUUUGACAGACAGAUGCACUUGACUUCAGAUAUUUCAGGCUUAAAACCAUGCAAGUGAACAACAACCAUCAUACAGGAUUAUUAUGAUUACACGUGAUUAUCGUGACGACGUGGUCGAAGGAGAGCUAAAAUAGGAAUACUACAGGACAUUUACCCGUGGAAUAUCAGCCAUCGCGGAACUUCUACUGUAAACAUCGCAAACGCCAUAUUUGGACAAACAUUAAAGCAUUUUCUCGUGUGUCCAUUGGAUAAACACAUACUUUGAUCUGAAGAUAGCUUGACCGGAUCAGAUAGUGACCCAAAACCGGAGGAUUUACAAACACGGAAUCUUUUACGCGGGUAUUGACAUACUCUCGUCAGCUCCGAUGUCACGUCGCGAUUUGACAUCUUGACUUUUUGUUACUCGAGACCUUUUUAUCAAAAUGAAUCACUAUACAGUUCCUUCGCCCUCUAAGUUCCUCAACAUAUGUCAAAAAAUGUUGUUAUUUAACCGUGUAGGUUUCCCAAAAUCAGAUAUCCGGGUGUACAUUUCUUUCCGAUUCCUGUCAUUUUCACCACACAAAAGUGCUCAAUGCAUGGUGACCAAACGCAAUUUUACCUCAAUACAAGUACACGUGUUAUACCUUUUUAACGAUUUCAGGUAUACAUUUACACUUAAUUGGUGGGUUACUUCAUUGAUAAAUGUUUAAGAUUUUUAUCAAAAAUGAAUUUUACAUUUAAAAAAAAUUAAGAAUAAAGUCGGACCCACUUGCCAAAAACCUGGGCUUUUAAAACU